rnacentral:tRNA from 1 species
GCGUGGGUGGCGGAGUAGUCAAACGCACUAGACUGUAAAUCUAGCGACCUCUGGUCUUCGGGGGUGCAAAUCCCUCCCCACGCA